rnacentral:rRNA from 1 species
AACGAACGCUGGCGGCAGGCUUAACACAGGCAAGUCGAACGCCCCGCAAGGGGAGUGGCAGCCGGGUGGGUAAGGCGGGGGAACAUACCCUUUCCUGCGGAAUAGCCCUGGGAAACGGGAAUAAUUACCGCAUACGCCCUACGGGGGAAAGAUUUAUCGGGGAAGGAUUGGCCCGCGUUGGAUUAGCUAGUUGGUGGGGUAAAGGCCUACCAAGGCGACGAUCCAUAGCUGGUCUGAGAGGAUGAUCAGCCACGUUGGGACUGAGACACGGCCCAAACUCCUACGGGAGGCAGCAGUGGGGAAUAUUGGACAAUGGGCGCAAGCCUGAUCCAGCCACGCCGCGUGAGUGAUGAAGGCCUUAGGGUUGUAAAGCUCUUUCACCGAUGAAGAUAAUGACGGUAGUCGGAGAAGAAGCCCCGGCUAACUUCGUGCCAGCCGCCGCGGUAACAC